rnacentral:rRNA from 1 species
GAUGAACGCUAGCGGCAGGCCUAAUACAUGCAAGUCGAGGGGUAGUGGUUGCUUGCAACCAUGAGACCGGCGCACGGGUGCGUAACGCGUAUGCAACCUACCUUCAUCAGGGGGAUAGCCCGGAGAAAUCCGGAUUAAUACCGCAUAAAAUCACAGUACCGCAUGGUACAAUGAUCAAACAUUUAUGGGAUGGAGAUGGG